UACGGGAGGCAGCAGUGAGGAAUAUUGGUCAAUGGGCGGGAGCCUGAACCAGCCAAGUAGCGUGCAGGAAGACGGCCCUACGGGUUGUAAACUGCUUUUAUGAGGGGAUAAAGUGGGGGACGUGUCCCUUAUUGCAGGUACCUCAUGAAUAAGGACCGGCUAAUUCCGUGCCAGCAGCCGCGGUAAU
rnacentral:rRNA from 1 species